rfam:Oryctes borbonicus contig19865, whole genome shotgun sequence.
UUAAAGGCUCCAUUGGGAGCCAUUCCACUUCUAUAGAGGAAAUUUA